rnacentral:rRNA from 1 species
UACAGAGGGUGCUAGCGUUGUUCGGAAUCAUUGGGCGUAAAGGGCGUGUAGGCGGUUUGUUAAGUCAUGUGUGAAAGCCCCCGGCUCAACCGGGGAACGACGCAUGAAACUGGCAAGCUAGAGUACCGAAGAGGGGGGUGGAAUUCCCGGUGUAGCGGUGAAAUGCGCAGAUAUCAGGAAGAACACCCGUGGCGAAGGCGGCUCUCUGGGACGGUACUGACGCUGAGACGCGAAAGCGUGGGGAGCGAACAGG